rnacentral:lncRNA from 1 species
GGAGGAGAGGCGGGGAGAGACAGGGCUCCAUGGGGGAAGGCUCGCGCUGGGCUUUCUCUCCCUGAGCGGCAAAUAGCAAAGGCCUCUUUGUGGAAUGUGGUGCCGCGGGAGGACAAAGUCGUCCUAUUGCUGUCUAGUCUGCUGGAGAAUAAAGACAGGAUUGGUGGGAAGGGCAGAGGGGGAAGAGGCCAGAGGAGGGAAGCUCAUCCGCUGGCACCGGCCCAUGGCUGCGCACGGCCAAGGUGUUUUCUCUGAAAUUGGAUUGUGGUAUUUUUCACAAGGCAGAUGAGUAUGUUGCUGCAGUGGGCCUGGGAGUGGGUCUGGUGGAAAGGAAAAGGCAGAGUUUCUCCUGUGGGGAACAAAUCCCCGCUCUAUGGGGCCUCCUUCCCACAAGUUCCACCUGGAGCCUGCAGGCUGGCUUCAGGGUAAAGGAGGAGAUGAAUUCUUGCUCCCUGGGUUUCCCUUGUUCUAGAGUGCUUGCUUCUUGUACUUCAGUGGGUACCGAGGGGAGGGACAUUCUGCUAGAGGGGUGUGUGGGGAACACUGCUGGUGUCUUAGAGCUCUCCUCUAGGUGGGUAGGACAGCAGGACGGCUUUACCCAACAACUGGCUCCAGGAAGGCAGGGCUUCUCAGGGGGAGCAUGGGGGUCACCUGAUGGGUGGGACAUCUACAAGUUAUGGGAAGCAGGAAGCUGGGAUGUGUUUUGUGGCGUCUCCUGCCAAGGGCCACAGCUCCUCAGCCCAAGGACCUCAACCCCAGCGGGUCCCAGUGGCCUCACACCGUGCUGGGCACAAAUACGUGUGGGAUAAGCACAUGCAGAACAGAUGAAUGUGAAACUCUGCCCCAGGUGUUCCUGCUUUUAAAUCCAUUAGCCUGGUUAAUCUUCCCAGCAACUCAGCAAAGUAAGUAGGUUUAUUACUGCAUAACAAAU